ensembl:lncRNA novel transcript
AGACCUAGGAACAACUGAAGCUAACACCUGAGAUACUGAAGGCCUGGAAGAGUUAGGUACGGCUGAUGACACUGUUGAAAAGUCAUAAACGCACCCAAGUUGAGCAAGAACUGUGUUGGCCCGUGUGUGAGAAAAAAUAGCCACGUCCAGACUGGGAGAAUUUACUACUUCCAAAGACAAGUUAAUAGAAGCGGCACAGGACAUGGAAGUAUGGAGUGGACAGGUUACCAUUUGUACGCGGUGAUUGUAUUUUUAAAUGUGCUGUAACUAGCAGCCAUUUUUAUUAAUGGGCCAAUCUAAACAGGGUUGAAAAAGAUUAACCGUGACGCCACCCCAAAUUACAAUAGGGUCUUGUAGAUCUCUUUUUAUAGCUGUAAAAACGGAAUCAUUCUUGGCUCUGUGUAAUGUUUAUAAGGCGUGUCUGAUCUCACUGAAUAAAAUUUUAUAGAAAAGUU